rnacentral:rRNA from 1 species
AGACGACGCUGGCGGCGUGCCUAAUACAUGCAAGUCGAACGGUCUUUCUAUGGAAGCUUGCUUCCACUGAGAAGAUAGUGGCGAACGGGUGAGUAACACGUGGGUAACCUGCCCAUAAGAGGGGGAUAACAUCCGGAAACGGGUGCUAAUACCGCAUAGUUUUCUUGAUUGCAUGAUUGAGAAAGGAAAGACGGCCUUUGUGCUGUCGCUUAUGGAUGGACCCGCGGCGUAUUAGUUAGUUGGUGAGGUAACGGCUCACCAAGACGAUGAUACGUAGCCGACCUGAGAGGGUGAUCGGCCACAUUGGGACUGAGACACGGCCCAAACUCCUACGGGAGGCAGCAGUAGGGAAUCUUCCGCAAUGGACGAAAGUCUGACGGAAGCAACGCCGCGUGAGUGAUGACGGCCUUCGGGUUGUAAAGCUCUGUCUUCAGGGACGAUAAUGACGGUACCUGAGGAGGAAGCCACGGCUAACUACGUGCCAGCAGCCGC